UUAAGCGACUAAGCGUACACGGUGGAUGCCCUGGCAGUCAGAGGCGAUGAAGGACGUGCUAAUCUGCGAAAAGCGUCGGUAAGGUGAUAUGAACCGUUAUAGCCGGCGAUGUCCGAAUGGGGAAACCCAGUGCAAUUCGUUGCACUAUCGUUUGAUGAAUACAUAGUCAAACGAGGCGAACCGGGGGGAACUGAAACAUCUAAGUACCCCGAGGAAAAGAAAUCAACCGAGAUUCCCCCAGUAGCGGCGAGCGAACGGGGAGCAGCCCGGAGUCUGAAUCAGCUUGUGUGUUAGUGGAAGCGUCUGGAAAGUCGCAGGGUACAGGGUGAUACUCCCGUACACUAAAACACACAGGUUGUGAACUCGAAGAGUAGGGCGGGACACGUGGUAUCCUGUCUGAAUAUGGGGGGACCAUCCUCCAAGGCUAAAUACUCCUGACUGACCGAUAGUGAACCAGUACCGUGAGGGAAAGGCGAAAAGAACCCCGGCGAGGGGAGUGAAAAAGAACCUGAAACCGUGUACGUACAAGCAGUAGGAGCCCACUUGUUGGGUGACUGCGUACCUUUUGUAUAAUGGGUCAGCGACUUAUAUUCUGUAGCAAGGUUAACCGUAUAGGGGAGCCGCAGGGAAACCGAGUCUUAACUGGGCGUUAAGUUGCAGGGUAUAGACCCGAAACCCGGUGAUCUAGCCAUGGGCAGGUUGAAGGUUGGGUAACACUAACUGGAGGACCGAACCGACUAAUGUUGAAAAAUUAGCGGAUGACUUGUGGCUGGGGGUGAAAGGCCAAUCAAACCGGGAGAUAGCUGGUUCUCCCCGAAAGCUAUUUAGGUAGCGCCUCGUGAAUUCAUCUUCGGGGGUAGAGCACUGUUUCGGCUAGGGGGUCAUCCCGACUUACCAACCCGAUGCAAACUACGAAUACCGAAGAAUGUUAUCACGGGAGACACACGGCGGGUGCUAACGUCCGUCGUGAAGAGGGAAACAACCCAGACCGCCAGCUAAGGUCCCAAAGUCAUGGUUAAGUGGGAAACGAUGUGGGAAGGCCCAGACAGCCAGGAUGUUGGCUUAGAAGCAGCCAUCAUUUAAAGAAAGCGUAAUAGCUCACUGGUCGAGUCGGCCUGCGCGGAAGAUGUAACGGGGCUAAACCAUGCACCGAAGCUGCGGCAGCGACACUAUGUGUUGUUGGGUAGGGGAGCGUUCUGUAAGCCGUUGAAGGUGGCCUGUGAGGGUUGCUGGAGGUAUCAGAAGUGCGAAUGCUGACAUAAGUAACGAUAAUGCGGGUGAAAAACCCGCACGCCGGAAGACCAAGGGUUCCUGUCCAACGUUAAUCGGGGCAGGGUGAGUCGACCCCUAAGGCGAGGCCGAAAGGCGUAGUCGAUGGGAAACAGGUUAAUAUUCCUGUACUCGGUGUUACUGCGAAGGGGGGACGGAGAAGGCUAUGUUGGCCGGGCGACGGUUGUCCCGGUUUAAGCAUGUAGGCGGAUGUUCCAGGUAAAUCCGGAACGUUAUUAACGCUGAGGUGUGAUGACGAGGCACUACGGUGCUGAAGUGACAAAUGCCCUGCUUCCAGGAAAAGCCUCUAAGCAUCAGGUAACAUCAAAUCGUACCCCAAACCGACACAGGUGGUCAGGUAGAGAAUACCAAGGCGCUUGAGAGAACUCGGGUGAAGGAACUAGGCAAAAUGGUGCCGUAACUUCGGGAGAAGGCACGCUGAUGGUAGGUGAAGUGACUUGCUCAUGGAGCUGAAAUCAGUCGAAGAUACCAGCUGGCUGCAACUGUUUAUUAAAAACACAGCACUGUGCAAACACGAAAGUGGACGUAUACGGUGUGACGCCUGCCCGGUGCCGGAAGGUUAAUUGAUGGGGUUAUCCGUAAGGAGAAGCUCUUGAUCGAAGCCCCGGUAAACGGCGGCCGUAACUAUAACGGUCCUAAGGUAGCGAAAUUCCUUGUCGGGUAAGUUCCGACCUGCACGAAUGGCGUAAUGAUGGCCAGGCUGUCUCCACCCGAGACUCAGUGAAAUUGAACUCGCUGUGAAGAUGCAGUGUACCCGCGGCAAGACGGAAAGACCCCGUGAACCUUUACUAUAGCUUGACACUGAACACUGGUCCUUGAUGUGUAGGAUAGGUGGGAGGCUUUGAAGUGUGGACGCCAGUCUGCAUGGAGCCAUCCUUGAAAUACCACCCUUUAAUGGCUGGUGUUCUAACGUGGGCCCCUAAUCGGGGUUGCGGACAGUGUCUGGUGGGUAGUUUGACUGGGGCGGUCUCCUCCUAAAGAGUAACGGAGGAGCACGAAGGUCAGCUAAUCCUGGUCGGACAUCAGGAGGUUAGUGCAAUGGCAUAAGCUGGCUUGACUGCGAGCGUGACGGCGCGAGCAGGUGCGAAAGCAGGUCAUAGUGAUCCGGUGGUUCUGAAUGGAAGGGCCAUCGCUCAACGGAUAAAAGGUACUCCGGGGAUAACAGGCUGAUACCGCCCAAGAGUUCAUAUCGACGGCGGUGUUUGGCACCUCGAUGUCGGCUCAUCACAUCCUGGGGCUGAAGUAGGUCCCAAGGGUAUGGCUGUUCGCCAUUUAAAGUGGUACGCGAGCUGGGUUUAGAACGUCGUGAGACAGUUCGGUCCCUAUCUGCCGUGGGCGCUGGAGAAUUGAGGGGGGCUGCUCCUAGUACGAGAGGACCGGAGUGGACGCAUCACUGGUGUUCGGGUUGUCAUGCCAAUGGCAUUGCCCGGUAGCUAAAUGCGGAAGAGAUAAGUGCUGAAAGCAUCUAAGCACGAAACUUGCCCCGAGAUGAGUUCUCCCUGACUCCUUGAGAGUCCUGAAGGAACGUUGAAGACGACGACGUUGAUAGGCCGGGUGUGUAAGCGCAGCGAUGCGUUGAGCUAACCGGUACUAAUGAACCGUGAGGCUUAACCUU
rnacentral:rRNA from 2 species